UUAGUAACCAUUUGGGAAACACCAUGACAAAGACCAUGGCUUUCCCACAGUGAGGGUCAUUCCUUAAACACAGAUGUGCUGACACCUGUGAUUUCCCCCACAGUGGAAAACUCAGCUGUAUAACUUGAUCAUUGAGGACUCUGUUAGUGUACUCUGG
rnacentral:snRNA from 1 species